rnacentral:antisense_RNA from 1 species
AGAUAUGGCGGCUGUGUGCAGGCAGACCUAGGUCUGGCCGGACGCUCCUCACCGGUUUCUCACCCUGUUCAUCGCUGCCACCCUU